UCUUCAUGUACCACUUGGUUCUUUCCCGGUCAAGAGCUGUAACACUAGCUGUACACUUGCCGCAACAAUAGAAAUGGUGUUACAUGGAAACUGAGAUUUCCACGGAAACGGAGAAGUUAAGUACCUUCCCAAGGUCACACAGUGGUGGAACUAGAACUCAAAGCAAGAAGCCCAAGUGCACCAUCCCCAUUCCAAAGUGCUUCAUCAUACCCCCUUGAAGAGCUGGGGAGCUGCAGUGUCAGUCUGAGGAACUACGUUCUUCAGGCAACGGGAGCCCUCGAAGGUGGGGUUGGGAGAGUGGCACAGGCCGUUGUGUGUUUUGGAAAGCCUUCUCCGGCAGCGCAGUAAGGUUCUCACCUGCUGCCUAGGACCACCCAGGAUGCUUCGGGGUCAGCACUGGAAACAAAGCCCUGCAAUAGCCCCAACACCUCCUUCCUGGAUGAUGCUGCCCCUAAUCCACAGGAGAACUCGAGUUUAGUGAGGCCCCUUCUAUAUUUCUCCACUCCCUUUGGGAUCUCCUGGGGCUCAGAGGUUCCCCAGCACCAUGCCCAAGCCACCUAUCAGGAGGGCAGAGUUGGGGACAGGGACAUACUCCCAGUCCUUUCUCAGGAGA